rnacentral:misc_RNA from 1 species
ACAGCUUGUGUUUUAAAUUGAUUGUCUUGGAUUUGAAAAGUGCUUUUAUCUCUUUUAAUCAAUUUCUCUUUUCACUUCUUGUGUGCUAGUUGUUUCUCUUGAUGUUUUCUUCAAUUUUAAAUUUAAUAUCUUUCUGCAUUUUAGUAUUUGCACUUUGUAAUGGUAUGAAAAGGCACCCAUGGUCUAAUUUACAUUAGUUAGUGGGCUCAAAGCCUUUUUGAUAUGUCAUCAAUAGUUUUACAUGAUGUGAAGAUAGCUAAUAGCUUCCUUUCUUUGGACAUUUUUAGGUGGUCCAACUCCUGAGGUGGGCCACAUGGUGGACUGUUUGGCUCUCUAAUUAUGG